rnacentral:tRNA from 1 species
GGUGAGGUGGCCGAGUGGUUUAAGGCGCACGCUUGGAAAGCGUGUAGAGCGCAAGUUCUCGCAGGUUCGAAUCCUGUCCUCACCGCCA